rnacentral:rRNA from 1 species
UACGGGGGGAGCAAGCGUUGUUCGGAUUUACUGGGCGUAAAGGGCGCGUAGGCGGUCGUGACAAGUCACUUGUGAAAUCUCCGGGCUUAACUCGGAACGGUCAAGUGAUACUGUCGGACUAGAGUACAGAAGGGGCAACUGGAAUUCUCGGUGUAGCGGUGAAAUGCGUAGAUAUCGAGAGGAACACCUGAGGUGAAGACGGGUUGCUGGGCCGACACUGACGCUGAGUGCGCGAAAGCCAGGGGAGCAAACGGG